rnacentral:rRNA from 1 species
ACUCAAAUGAAUAGACGGGGGCCCGCACAAGCGGUGGAGCAUGUGGUUUAAUUCGACGCAACGCGAAGAACCUUACCAGGGCUUGACAUCCUGCGCUCACCUAAGAGAUUAGGUUUCCCAGCAAUGGGACGCAGAGACAGGUGCUGCAUGGCUGUCGUCAGCUCGUGCCGUGAGGUGUUGGGUUAAGUCCCGCAACGAGCGCAACCCUUGCCGUGUGUUGGUCCACAAGACCUCUCACGCGGGACCGCCGGUGACAAGCCGGAGGAAGGUGGGGAUGACGUCAAGUCAGCAUGGCCCUUACGUCCUGGGCUACACACGUGCUACAAUGGAAUGGACAACGAGUCGCGAACCAGCGAUGGUAAGCUAAUCUCCUAAACCAUUUCUCAGUUCGGAUUGGAGGCUGCAACUCGCCUCCAUGAAGUCGGAAUCGCUAGUAACCGCAGAUCAGCUACGCUGCGGUGAAUACGUUCCCGGGCCUUGCACACACCGCCCGU